GAUGAAGAACGUAGCGAAAUGCGAUAAGUAAUGUGAAUUGCAGAAUUCAGUGAAUCAUCGAAUCUUCGAACGCACAUUGCGCCCGCCAGUAUUCUGGCGGGCAUGCCUGUUCGAGCGUCAUUUCAACCAUCAAGCCCCAGGCUUGUGUUGGGGACCUGCGGCUGCCGCAGGCCCUGAAAACCAGUGGCGGGCUCGCUGUCACACCGGGCGUAGUAGAUUUUAUCUCGCUCUGGGCGUGCUGCGGGUUCCGGCCGUUAAAAAACCCUUUUAACCCAAGGUUGACCUCGGAUCAGGUAGGAAUACCCGCUGAACUUAAGCAUAUCAAUAAGCGGAGGA
rnacentral:misc_RNA from 1 species